AGCGCCGCCACCCCACAUGCCAACCAAGAAAGUGGCGCUGAAAAGCCCGAGAGCGCCUCGACGCCGGAGCAGAGCAAGAGGGCCGUGGUGAGCUACUGGGGCAUCGAACCGCGGAAGCUCGUCAAGGACGACGGCACGGAGUGGCCGUGGUUCUGCUUCAGGCCGUGGGACACGUACAGGCCGGACACGUCCAUCGACGUCACCAAGCACCACGAGCCCAAGGCCCUGGCGGACAAGGUGGCCUACUUCGUGGUUCGGUCGCUGCGUGUGCCCAGGGACCUCUUCUUCCAGCGCCGGCACGCCAGCCACGCCCUGCUGCUGGAGACGGUCGCGGCGGUGCCGCCCAUGGUGGGCGGCGUGCUGCUGCACCUGCGCUCGCUCCGCCGCUUCGAGCACAGCGGCGGCUGGAUCCGCGCGCUCAUGGAGGAGGCCGAGAACGAGCGCAUGCACCUCAUGACCUUCAUGGAGGUGACCCAGCCCCUGUGGUACGAGCGCGCCCUCGUCAUCGCCGUCCAGGGCGUCUUCUUCAACGCCUACUUCUUCGGCUACCUCAUUUCCCCCAAGUUCGCGCACCGCGUCGUCGGCUACCUCGAGGAGGAGGCCGUCCACUCCUACACCGAGUUCCUCAAGGACCUCGACGACGGCAAGAUCGACAACGUCCCCGCCUCGGCCAUCGCCAUCGACUACUGGCGCCUCCCUGCCAACGCCACCCUCAAGGCCGUGGUCACCGUGGUGCGCGCCGACGAGGCUCACCACCGCGACGUCAACCACUUCGCAUCGGACGUGUACUACCAGGGUAUGCAGCUGAAGGCCACCCCCGCGCCGAUCGGAUACCACUGA
rnacentral:rRNA from 1 species